CCAAGCUGCCAUUGGUCAGGUACUGUGGGAAGAAGCUGGUAACUGUAGAAUGCCUGGGGCUCACACAUCAUCUGUGUGGUUUUGUAUCAAGAUGUGCCCAUAGUCAUUGAAUAAUUAAAGACAUUUCUAAAAAGCAGUGGUGGAGAGAGGUCGACCCCUGAGCUUCCAAGUACACAAGCAUGCUUACUCCCCUCCAGCUCUGGUGAGCAGCCACACAGGGAAGAACAAUAUCUCUUUCUUCCUCCAUGCAAAAGAACCCUCCCGAAGGAGAGGCCGUCCCAUGGGUUCCAAAUCCAUAUGCCAGUCUCUCCAUGCAAAUGGUACCUCCUUGGGAGCAGAGGGUCUCCUGGCCUCACAUCCUUCAC
rnacentral:lncRNA from 1 species